CAACACCACAGCUCCAUGAUGCUGCACACAGACAAGCUGUAUGUCUGCAGGAGGCCUGGGCACCCUGCUCCUGCUCCUGGCUGCUCCUACAGCCCUGUCCCCACGGGCUCAGCCCCUGCUGGUCUUUCAGCCAAGCUGGAAAACUGCAGGAGAGCGCAGUUCUUCCAGUCACAGCCCAGGAGGGACAGGGGUGAUGGUGUAAUGGCCACCAGCUGCUCUUGGGGUUUGGUCUGCCCUACAAGCAGUCCCAGAGGAUGGAGUGGGAGGAAGGCAGGCUGGCAGCACAAGACCUCACAACCACAACUCCCAGACCCCACUACUGGUUCCACUGCUGGUCCUGAGCAGCAUUUUCUGCAGGUCUGCCGUGGAGACUAAUUCCUACAGCUGUGUGGAUUGUCAUCAGCCAUGCCCUGCACAGGAGCCAAACAUUACAGCCCUCUGUAAGACAACUUUUCAGACAGCUGCAUCUCACGUGGCCAUGAAAAUGGACCUGAUCUCACUGAAAGCUGGGUAAUGGGCUCUAAAAUCAUCAUUUCUUAUAUUGAA